rnacentral:lncRNA from 1 species
CUAUGAUGGGCCGAAUUAGGUCAAAGGGCAUCCUCAUAUAAAUAGGUUAUGGUCCCCAGAUCACAUGCAGAUUAUUGUUCAUUCUCUACUGCAUCCCAUCACAGAGAGAAAAAGGAGAAUGCGUGUAGAUUUGGAAGAUCAUACCGCGAAAUCCAUAUUGCAUUAACUAUGUCAGAUUAAGGUAUGCUUCCGCUUUAAUUAUUAUAUUUCUUGAUGAUUUAACAUGAAAGAUCCGGUAUUUAAAGAAUUAAAUUAUCCAACAAGUGGUAUCAGAG